GGGUGGAGAAGAUUUAAUUUGAGAGAUCCAAUGGCAAAAGAAAAUAAUUAAAAAAAAAAAAAUUCCAAGAAAAUAAGAAUAACUGAAUUUGACAAGAGAACUUAAUUUCAUUUCUAUACAGAGCCUGCUCUACUAGAUCCGCCCCUCUGCACUCCGCAUUUCCUCCCUGAGAAAUGCGAACCUGAAGAUCUAUCCAUCUGUUACCUUUAGAGAGAGAAAGAUACCAAUUUUAGAGAGAGACAGAUAUGGGGUGUACGUUUUCUGGGCUGAAUGCGCUGUAC
rnacentral:misc_RNA from 1 species